rnacentral:lncRNA from 1 species
GAAGAAAAGUUCAAUUUUCUUGGGCUGUCACAACUGCGAUUGGAGCAUAUUGGAAACUGAGGGAGCCAUAAAGAAACAGUGUUGCUAGUUCAGAUCCUGUGAGAGAGAUGGGAAUGCAUCUGUGGAAAAAGACAUAUAUGGUACUUCCCAGAUACCUUGGACUCUCCUGCAAGGACCCAGAUUGACCUGCUUCAGUUUUCCUGAAAGAGAUAGAAGGCAAUAUCUGUGUAUUUCUGCAGAAAUCUGCCAUUGGGAAAAGGUUGCAAAAAUUCUGGCCACCAUGUAAAUCCCACACUGAAGACUCACUUGGGAAGAAGAAAAGGCACAAAAUUUUGUGCUGGCACUCUAAAAGUGAAGGUGAGUGUUGACCUACCUAUGCACUAAUGAGAACAAAGCUAAACACCCAAAU